UGGAUUAGUGGCGAACGGGUGAGUAACACGUGAGCAACCUGCCCUUGACUCUGGGAUAAGCCUGGGAAACUGGGUCUAAUACCGGAUACAACCUCCUGCCGCAUGGUGGGGGGUGGAAAGCCUUGUGCGGUCUUGGAUGGGCUCGCGGCCUAUCAGCUUGUUGGUGGGGUGAUGGCCUACCAAGGCGACGACGGGUAGCCGGCCUGAGAGGGUGACCGGCCACACUGGGACUGAGACACGGCCCAGACUCCUACGGGAGGCAGCAGUGGGGAAUAUUGCACAAUGGGCGGAAGCCUGAUGCAGCGACGCCGCGUGGGGGAUGACGGCCUUCGGGUUGUAAACCCCUUUCGGCAGGGAACAAGCCCCUUGGGGUGAGGGUACCUGCGGAAGAAGCGCCGGCUAACUACGUGCCAGCAGCCGCGGUAAUACGUAGGGCGCGAGCGUUAUCCGGAAUUAUUGGGCGUAAAGAGCUCGUAGGCGGUUUGUCGCGUCUGCUGUGAAAGCCCGGGGCUCAACCCCGGGUCUGCAGUGGGUACGGGCAGGCUGGAGUGCAGUAGGGGAGACUGGAAUUCCUGGUGUAGCGGUGAAAUGCGCAGAUAUCAGGAGGAACACCGAUGGCGAAGGCAGGUCUCUGGGCUGUAACUGACGCUGAGGAGCGAAAGCAUGGGGAGCGAACAGGAUUUAGAUACCCCUGGUAGUCCAUGCCGUAAACGUUGGGCACUAGGUGUGGGGGCCAUUCCACGGUUUCCGCGCCGCAGCUAACGCAUUAAGUGCCCCGCCUGGGGAGUACGGCCGCAAGGCUAAAACNCAAAGGAAUUGACGGGGGCCCGCACAAGCGGCGGAGCAUGCGGAUUAAUUCGAUGCAACGCGAAGAACCUUACCAAGGCUUGACAUGUGCCGGACCGUCCCAGAGAUGGGGCUUCCCUUCGGGGCCGGUUCACAGGUGGUGCAUGGUUGUCGUCAGCUCGUGUCGUGAGAUGUUGGGUUAAGUCCCGCAACGAGCGCAACCCUCGUUCCAUGUUGCCAGCACUUCGGGUGGGGACUCAUGGGAGACUGCCGGGGUCAACUCGGAGGAAGGUGGGGACGACGUCAAAUCAUCAUGCCCCUUAUGUCUUGGGCUUCACGCAUGCUACAAUGGCCGGUACAAAGGGUUGCGAUACUGUGAGGUGGAGCCAAUCCCAGAAAGCCGGUCUCAGUUCGGAUUGGGGUCUGCAACUCGACCCCAUGAAGUCGGAGUCGCUAGUAAUCGCAGAUCAGCAACGCUGCGGUGAAUACGUUCCCGGGCCUUGUACACACCGCCCGUCAAGUCACGAAAGUCGGUAACACCCGAAGCC
rnacentral:rRNA from 1 species